rnacentral:rRNA from 1 species
CGGUGUUCAACUGGCGUGUCCGCGGGACGUCCUGCCGGUGGGCUUAGCCCGCAAGGGCGGCCCAACUUCAAAUCCCAUCGCGGUGCUCUUCACUGAGUGUCGAGGUGGGCCGGCACGUUUACUUUGAACAAAUUAGAGUGCUUAAAGCAGGCUAAAACUUCGCCUGAAUACUGUGUGCAUGGAAUAAUGGAAUAGGACCUCGGUUCUAUUUUGUUGGUUUUCGGAACCCCGAGGUAAUGAUUAAUAGGAACGGAUGGGGGCAUUCGUAUUGCGACGUUAGAGGUGAAAUUCUUGGAUCGUCGCAAGACGGACAGAAGCGAAAGCAUUUGCCAAAAACGCUUUCAUUGAUCAAGAACGAAAGUUAGAGGUUCGAAGGCGAUCAGAUACCGCCCUAGUUCUAACCAUAAACGAUGCCAGCUAGCGAUCCGUCGACGUUCCUCCGAUGACUCGACGGGCAGCUUCCGGGAAACCAAAGCUUUUGGGUUCCGGGGGAAGUAUGGUUGCAAAGCUGAAACUUAAAGGAAUUGACGGAAGGGCACCACCAGGAGUGGAGCCUGCGGCUUAAUUUGACUCAACACGGGAAACCUCGCCAGGCCCGGGACACCGGAAGGAUUGACAGAUUGAGAGCUCUUUCUUGAUUCGGUGGGUGGUGGUGCAUGGCCGUUCUUAGUUGGUGGAGCGAUUUGUCUGGUUAAUUCCGAUAACGAACGAGACUCUAGCCUGCUAACUAGGCGUAUUUUCGACAUCUCAAAGGUCCGUCGUCCCGGCCCUCGGGUCGUGGGCGUGCGCGAUUUUUACUGUCGGCGUACUAUCAAUUCUUCUUAGAGGGACAGGUGGCUUCUAGCCGCACGAGAUUGAGCAAUAACAGGUCUGUGAUG